UGACGUCAUAUGUUAUUCGGAGUCAAGAAAUUCCACAACAGAUUGCUGUCUGCAUAAAACAUUUAUGCCAAAAUGUGUUCGUGCCAUGUCAAGUAGGAAGUGUCUCUUUUAUUGAAACAUGAAUCAGAUAUACCAGACACGGUGUUUAUCUAGGAUUUGAAAAUGGCUGAAUGCAUUGAAAAGUUGGGUAGCAAAAUUUCACUAGAUGAUGAAUUGCUUGUUCUGCAAGAGCUUCAUUCAACGUUGGUGCAGUCCACCGAUUGCUCUGCAUUGACUGAAGAUGGAGCAAGCAUUCCAUUAUUUGGUCAUGGCAAUCCAUACCCACACAGAUCAUUGGAGACUGUCUGUAAAUCUCAAGAAACUCUGGACAAGUUCACAUGUUAUGUUUUUGAACGACGCUUUGGCUGGUCAGAGACUGACACUGAAGAUGGGCACCGAGUUAGACAUCUGUCCAGCACUGGAACCACUUUGUCAGCUGGCACAAGCAAACAGAAGUCCGCGCUAAACACUAUGCUCGACUGCCUUCUAAAGUGGUUUCUUCACCAGAAAAUAACUGUUCCUAAUUUGCAGUCUAUGAUACACACAAUAAAAAAAGCUGCCAAUAUGCCUGUUGUUCGAAACAGGGCUGUAAUUCAUGCCAUGGAUUUGUGCAAGCUAAACCAAGAUUCUUUAUGUGACCAGACAUUAUAUCAAGCUUUUCAUGAGUUGGUAAUUAUGUCCCUGACAGAUGUUUGGUCAGCCAUACGGAAUGCUACAGCUUCUAGACUAUCGCCAGUUGUUACAGCACUGCAUGUGGAACAUGUGCAACACAUUUUCAACAGCCUUGUCCAGAUAUGUGAAGACCAUUCCACUUGGCAGAUGAAAGAAGGGGCAAUAAUGGGCAUCAAUGCAGUAUUACAGACAUUCCACAAGCGACUCAGUUCCAAGUCCCCGAUGUCAUCUCCACGCAGUCUGGUGAUGGACCCGGAGGAGAAGCCCAUGCCAGGAUUCAUAAGUGAGAAGAUACAUUCGGUAGUGUUUAAUCUGUUGGCCCAUUCCCAGCUGUCUGUACGUGAACAUGCUGCUAAGACCCUCGCCACUUAUGUCACAUGCUCCGAUAUCAGCGUCGCACUGAGUACUUUGAAUGAAGUUGUACAGGUUCUGCGGCGAGGGACCAAGAACAGGGAGGUUCCUAUCACCAUAGUAACGCUACUACAGGUGCUACCUGGCCAGUUUGUUGACGACUAUGCGGCUGAGGGUUUUUUGGCUGUGUGCAUAUUCCUCAUAAAGGUGAUACCCCUAUGCCAGCUGCUGUCCAGAUGGCCUGAGUACAUCUCCACAUUCCUGCUCUACCUGUCACACCCAGCAUCCACAGUGAGGCAGGCAGCAUCCUCAGUAUUCAAAUAUCUCGUGGUGAAGGGCAGUCACAGUGUGGUGGUACUGAAGCUGGUACUCCAGGCCCUCAGUCUGGGCUGGAUACCAGACACAGAGGUCAUGACCCAGGAGGCCACACCCUCCACCACCACUGUGGGCAAACCAUUCCCUUCUGUCACCAAGUACUCAGGUUCGAAUCUCAGUGACACAUGGGAGGGCCGAGAGGGCAGACUGUUCGCAUAUGAGCUGAUAUUUCGUUAUCUCAUAAAAAACCACUGGCUCUACACAUUUGGACCUGCUGGGCCACCCUUUCAUUCUGAUGCAAACUCUGGGAAAGAUGGCCAGGAUAAAUUGUCUGAUAGCUAUUCACAGUUGUCAAGUACCCCCAAGGAAGCUACAUCUAUGCACCAUGUUGAAUCUGAUAAAUCCUUUGAGCAUGUACGGAGAAAACGCUUUCAUCAGAUUCGGUUCCUUACUCAAACAGACCUUAGUGUUGAAGAGCAUGCAGGGAAUGCACCAGAACAGACACCUGACCGAGUUCCAACUACAAACCAUGACAUUGGACCAGCCAACCAUUCCAACUCCAACCAUAAUGCAGCCCCAACACUGAGUCAAUCGGGCAUUGUGGGUUCGAGCCAUUUUGAGCACUCGAGCUCCCUGUUAACCCAGGCCCAGGUGCUGGAUAACGGGCCCCUGGGCUCUCACCUGGGGCUUGAUGGGUCAGAUAGGCAGCACUGGCAGGUCCUACAGCUGCAGCAGCUUCUAGAGGACAAUAACAACAAGUCAGUGGCCGUGGCCCAGUGUGGUUGGAUGGAGAGGGAGCCAGUGCAGGACAUGUUGUGUAUCCUCAGAGGGGUCCUGUACCAGACAGCAGAGAGUCUCGGCCACUCACAGUGGGAGCUCAGACGCAUUGCUAACCAGGUUUUGCCCUGCCUAGCAGAGGUGAUCAGGUGGUAUGACAUAAACCUGCUAGUGUCGCUAUGGAACAGCUACCUGAACGUCGCCAUGCCAACCUGUCUGAUGACCUUCACCUCUGUGCUGAUCCUCAAAGAGUCUGUGAUACAUGCUGUCAAGCUUAUGGCCCUCAUGCAUAAACCUCCGCACUCAUGGCAGGACCAUGCUGCAUGUGGGGAGCACCUGUCCACCAUCACAGGGACCAUACAGGGCCGGGUCGGGGCCUAUCUGGAGCUUCUCUGUCAGCUGGUACGGAGACCUUGCUGUGAUAGGCUCUCCAUCCUGGCCACUGAUGUGCUCCUGAUGGCCUAUGAACAUCUCAGAGUGCCCGCUGAGAGGAAGCUAGAUCAUCUGCAUAGUGUGCUGUACAUGUGGAAGUCAGUGUUUACAGCAGCUCACCCACAGAGCCGUCUGAGUCCAGAUCUGCUGGCCAUCCCAGGGCACUCGAGGGCAUUCAGCUCUCCUCUAGAGGGAUAUCUCAGUUGCUGCCUAGUAAAGCCGGAAAAUGCUACGCAGUGUGCUAAGCAGGUGGAGAAGCAGCUGAUAUCUGAGAUACAUCACCGUAUCCCUGAGCUGCUUUCCAGCCUGUCUGUGCGAGACUGUUUCUCAGUGCUACCUAUAGUAACCCACUACGUUGGCCAGUUUGUUGAGGACUCACAUAUCAGCAAGGUGCUCCUUGAGUGUGUGCAGGGCCAGGCCUCCAGGGUGGUGGAGAGUUUCGCCAGUGAGACAGACAGAGACAGCAAGCUGUUCUGUGGCAAAUGUAUUCUGGCCACACUCAGGGAGCUCUCGGCUGUUAUAACGCUCAAGAGUGUGGACAUACCACAUGUCCAGAAGAUCCUGGUGGUCUAUGAGGAGUUAUGUGCCCCUGUCAGUCUCUCCCAGCACCUUGCCAUCCUGCUCUCAGGCAUUGCCGCUCGUAUCAAUGAGACAGUGGAGUUCAGCGUGGACCAACCAUGUGACCGGGUGGGCGGGGCCGAAGAGGACCUGCUGCUGCUCUCCAAUGACAUACCAAACGAAUCUCCACAGAGUGAGAGCACGGACUCAGAGGAAGAGCUGACACAUGUGCCUGGUUCCCCAGGCUCCAGGUUUCCAGAGAGUUUGACCCUGAACACCAGUAACAACAGUGGCAGCCUAACAGGUCGGCUGAGCUCCCUUAGUCAUCAGAGUGGGGCCCGGGAGGGUGGGGAUGGGGGCAGCACACCACGUGGAGGAGGAGGGUCAGACAGCGAGGGGGAGGAGAGCUCCUCAGACUGGGACAGCUGGGAUGAUGAGGAUGAGAGUCAGUCAGCAUUUGGAAGUGUUUUUACCAACUUCCUUAACACACUUCAAAAAUCAAAUAGCUCAGAUUUUCUACUGGAGAUGAAACAGUUACCAGGUAAACAGAGGAUGAUCAUCAAUAACUUACUGAAGUGUUAGCAUUCAUGACCUCCAGUUGACCUCUACAUGACCGUUGCCAUGGGUAACUAUUGUAGCAACACCUGAAGAUAAAAAUAGGAUGAUUUUCCUUAAUAUGUGAUAUAAAAACAAAUGGUAUUAGUUUGUGGUCAUAAACCGUGUAGCAAACAAAUAUGUUAUUUUUCAGUUGGUUUAGUUUUUGUAUUUGCAUAUAUGUGUGUCCUAAGUACAAAAUAUGUUAAGGCUGGACCAUCGUUGUGUCAUUAUUUUGGAUAUGUUUCCAUUGCAUACAUAUAAAAGAAUAAUGCUGACAUGUGCUUAUAUUAAUCUUCAAUAUUGUCAAAUAUGGGAUUCUCUUAACAUCACCAGAAGAUAUAAUAUUCUAUAGCACAUACAUUUUUGUUGACACACAUUUGUACACCUGUGUUUUCAAGCUCACCAGAGCACAAAAUUCUCAUGGUAUGGUUUUGUGGUCGUCUUUUGUCAUCAGUCCUGCAUUUGAAGUCCUCAACAUUUACCCAGUGAAGGCUUAAGAGGCCACAGUUAAUGCCAAAUUGUUGUGUAGGGUUAAAAACUAGGUCAUGUGUGUAGGUCAAUAUAAAGAGAAAGCUUGUUAACAGUAUAAAAGUCACAGUUAUUGCUGAAUAAUUAUGAAACUUGCUCACAACAUCUGUUUGAACAAUAUUUCGACGGAGUUAGAAAAUGGUUUUGUUCCAUUCAAAAACAUGGACGGCAAGGGCUUGGUCAGUUUUCUCUUUUUUAUGCCCGCUUUCGAAGAAAAAGGGGCAUAUAGUGAUCAGACUGUCCGUCUGUCCAACUGUUUGUCCAUCUGUCUGUCUUUCCGUCACACAUUGCGUUAAGGUUUCGAAAAAUGCUCAUAACUUCUAUAUCCCUUGAGAUAUAACCUUCAUAUUUGGUAUGAAUGUGUAUAUGGAAAAGGCCUUUCCAUGCCCACAAAAAUUUUGACCCCUGUUACCUUGACCUUGAACUUAGGGUCCGCGUUUAGGUUUCGAAAUCUGCGUUUAGAUUUCGUAAAAUGCUCAUACAUUGUAACCUCUAUGUCCCUUGAGAUAUAACCUUCAUAUUUGGUAUGCAUGUGUAUAUGAACAAGGCUUUUCCUUACGCACACAAAAUUUUACCCCUGUGACCUUGACCUUGAACUUAGGUUCUGCGUUUAGGUUUCGAAAUCUGCGUUUAGGUUUAGAAAAAUGCUCAUAACUCCUUUGUCCCUUGAGAUAUAACUUUCAUAUUUGGUAUGCAUGUAUAUAUGAACAAGGCCUUUCCGUACGCACAAAAAUGUUAACCCCUGUGACCUUGACCUUGAAGUUAUGGUUUCGCGUUUAGUUUUCGAAAUCUGCGUUUAGGUUUUGAAAAAUGUUCAUAACUUCUAUGUCCCUUGAGAUAUAACCUUCAUAUUUGUUAUGCAUGUGUAUAUGGACAAGGCCUUUCCAUACGCACACAAAGUUUGACCCCUGUGACCUUGACCUUGAACUUAGGGUCCGCGUUUAGGUUUCGAAAUCUGCAUUUAGGUUUCGAAAAAAGCCCAUAACUUCUAUCAAGCGUGUAAAGGGGACACAAGUCAUCCUAUGGUGACAGCUCUUGUUUGGCUAUUGUAAAACCUUGUGAAAACUCUAGUAAUAUUUUAUCCAAGUUUCCAUGAAUUGUUAUUAGAAUACUUGUUAUCAUCAUACCCCAGCUGCAUUGGAAAAUGGUUGUGGUCAGUUGAAAAACAUGGCAGCCAAGAUCUUGGGCAGUUUUCCUUAUAAGGCUAUAAUAAAACCUCGUCAAUUCUCUAGAAGUCACACUUUUUUGCCAAAUCAUCAUGAAACUUGGCCAGAACAUGUGUUCCAAUGAUAUCUGAGCCAAGUUUAAAAAUGGUCCUCUUCUAUUGAAAGACAUGGCCAGGAGGAAGGGCAGUUUUCCUUAUAUGGCAAUAGUAAAACCUUAUGAGCAAUCUCAUAUUUAUUUUAAUAAUAUCUUGGUUGAGUUUGAAAAAUGCUUCUAGUCCGUUGAAAAACAUGUCUGCCAGGGGCCUUAUAUGGAUAUAGUAAAACCUUGUUAACUCUCUAGUUGAUAUUUUGUCUAAGUUUGAAAAUAGUAUCAGAAACAGCUAAAAGUUGCUGAGAGCAGUUCAGUUCCCUGAAAGCUCAGUUGAGCGACUGUGGACCUCCGGCCUUGUUUUAACAAUUCAUCAUGAGACAUGCUUGGAAAAUUUGUUUUAAUGAUAUUUCAGCCGAAUUAAGUUUCUUUAUUUCUCAUGUGAGUGCCAUAGGGCCUUUGACCCUCGUUAUUACAAAACUGGUUGGAUGAUUGUCCCAAAUUACACUAAAACAGUAUUGAAUUGUUUGAAUUGUGUUAUUGUGUUUCUAAAAAUAUGAAUGGGCGGUAAGUUGCACUUCAAUCAUCUAAUAGGAUUCAAAUGAAUUAUGUUGUGUCUAUGCAAAUACAGGAGGAGUAGAAAUGCCUCAGCAGAUGCUUAGCAAAUUGCUGGUAGAAUUUGGUUGACAGGUCUUUCUAAAUGAACAAGAAAUUAUUUGAUAUCAAUAGAGACAACAAUAAUGCUUAUUGUCUUCAAGAUCUUAGCAAAACUGUGUACUGGUAUGUCCUUUCGUCUUCAAAUAUAGAAAACUACCUGGGUUGAUUUGAUAUUUAAUUCUUUGUUGUUUUUUAUGCCCCCGGUAGGGUGGCAUACAGCAGUUUAACUGUCCGUCAGUCCGUCCGUCUGUCAAUCAGUCUGUCUGUCCGUCCGUCCGAAAACUUAAACACUGCCCAUAACUUUUGCAAUAUUGAAAAUAUCAACUUGAUAUUUGGCAUGCAUGUGUAUCUCAUUCAGCUGCACAUUUUGAGUGGUGAAAGGUCAAGGUCACCCUUCAAGGUCAAAGGUCAACUAUAUGGCUUCAAAGAGGCGCAGUAGGGGGCAUUGUGUUUCUGACAAACACAUAUCUUGUUUCCAUCUGUGCCAAUAAAUAUGUUUCACAAAACUUUUUCUCUUUAUCUUUGAGCCCACAUGUAGUCAUGGACGAGUCUGCUUGCAGUAAGCAUGAUAUAACUGUUCAGUGGUCGUCAAUAUUUCUUCUUCUUCUUUAAAUUUGAUAUAAUUUAUCAUCAGUAUUGCCAGUUGUCUCAGUUUAUUUAUUCUUAUUAAUCUUCUCCUUACAUUUUCUGGUUUUGGAUGAUAUUUAAUAGUUUUUCAUUGUUGCAUUCUUUUGUCUGUGAAUUUGUUUUUUACACUUCAAUAAUAUAUGCAUUAUGAUAUUUCACUACAGCAGGAAUUGAUUUAACUAUUGUAUAUGUGUGUUCUUUUAUUUUCAUAAGCAGUUUCAGUGUUUUUAUUCGAUCGGGGGCAUAUUGGUUUUGGCCUGUGUGUCUGUCUGUCUGUCUGUCAUUCUGUCCCAAAACUUUAAUCUUGGUUAAUGUUUUGAGAUAACUUUUGAAAUAUUGAACCUAGCAACUUGAUAUUUGGCAUGCAUGUGUAUCUCAUGGAGCUGCACAUUUUGAGUGGUGCAAGGUCAAGGUCAUCCUUCAAGGUCAAAGGUCAAACAAAAAAAUUCAAAGCGGCGCAUUAGGGGGCAUUGUGUUUCUGACAAACACAUCUCUUGUUUUGUUUUUGUUUUUAAAUAUGGUUCUUAAAUGAAAAAAAACAACAACACAGAAACAAACUCAUUGGUUGAAAUAUUAUCUUGGGAUUGAGUUCAGACUUUAUUAAUAUUGUUUAAGUUUAUACCUGUUUUUUAUAUUGGUAGCAUCAAGCUUCAAAUUUAAUAAAUCAAAUUCGCCAAUCAACAUGUACAUGAAUUGAAACAAUCAUUGUUUUGUUUCAACUAUAUUGGUAGCUUUCAAUCUGUUAUCAUGUAAAUUUGAUUUGACCAAUAAUAUAAAUUGGAUUUCUGUUUAAAAGUAUUUGUACUUAAUAUGGUAUUGAACUUUAGUCAGCAGCAUUUUAAGAAACACGUUGUUUAAUUUGUUUUCAAAGAUUUGCUUUGAGGCAACAGGGAGAUUAUAUACAUUCAUUUGGUCUAUUUGUCUGAAAGUAAUAUUUUUCGUCCUCUCCAUAUAUCAUAUACAUUUUGUAGGAUUUUCAUGCAAUUUGACUUAAAUGUUAAGGUUAUUAUGUUGAUUUUGAGAAUGCAUGAGUUGGUUAUGUUAAAGUCACACAUAAAGGUCAAAUUUUGGAGCUUCCAUUUCAUGUUUGUGCUUCUACUCCUAUACCAUUUUAAAGAUUUUCAAGGGACAUGGUUCAAAUGUAAAGGUUGCUAACAACUAAACAUAAUGGGCAGGAGGUAUGGGCCAUUUUAUGCCAGGUUAAGGUAACACUUAAAGGGUGAUGUUUGUGUCGAAGAAGUUUGUCAGUCAUGCAACCUUUAGGUUAAGGUCGCAAUUGAAUGACAAAAGGAUCACAACUUUAGAUAUAGCUGUCUUUUGGACUGCCCUGUCAGUGUUUAUUAAUGGAAUGUAGUGAUUAUCCUAUGAUAACUGAAUAUGAAAUCUUGCCACAUAUUUUUGUUGUAUUUUUCGGCAGUUACCUUAGUUUUAAAUGGACAAUUACAACAUUUUGUUAAGAUAUGGAAAAGCAGUAUUUAGUACUGUUGUGUGUUUGAAUAAUGGCUUAAUUACAUUGAUGUCUACCUGAUAUAGUGCUGCCUGAUAUAUUUUUUAUCAGUUUAACAGGCAUUAUAUCAGUCGAUAUUUUUAGGUAUGUCAUAUUAUUUGGAAUGAACUAUAAAGUCAUCAUUUUUAGUGAAGUAAAAUUGGAUUCAACAAAACAAACAAUUUGAUACCAUUAUGUAAUCUAUUUUAUAAACAAAAAGCCACAAAAACGCAAAAAACUUAUUUUUCAAGUGUUAAGCGAAAGUGCUCAAGAUGUCAUUAUUAAAACGUCAAAUGUGAAAAAUCAUAUUUAUUCCAGCUAAAAGGGGCGCUUCCUAUCGUUUUCUUUAUUAUUUCUUUUAAAAUGUGGACAUAGAGUUAUGAUAAACAGAAAAAGGUUAAUGCCUGUUUAGUUAAUGGUUCAUCAACUGCAAGCCUUGCCGUUAUAUUAUUCUUAGCCUUGCUGAUAUAUUUAAAAAAUAUCAGGCAGUAACCUGGCCUGUAUAUAUAUCUUGCAUACAUUUUAUUUAACACCAUAUGCUAAGGUUAAUGUUUUAGUUUAAAUAUUACCAUGUAUUGAAUAUUCUUUUUAUGAUUAACAAGCAAACUGUGUCAUUAAAAAAUAUCACCUUAUUUAUGAACUAUUUAGUGUCCGAUCAUACUUUUUAUGUGUAUAAUUAACAUAAUUUUGGCAUCAUUAUACAUGUAAUUAUCAUGUUAAGUUUUAUGUAAAAAAUCUCCAUGUUUAUUCUGUUGUCUUUUAGAUCUAUUAUUUAUUUUCUGUAUAUGCUUUGAUUCCGUCCUCUUUUUUAAGGUGACGUGUCUGUUUUAAUGUAGCAUUCAUUUAUGCAAUUUACUGGUAUAACUUAUUCAUUAUAACUUAUUCAUUAAACUGAAACCAAAAAUGUUGUAUGCAUGUAUGUGUUGUUUUUGUUACUGGCAUGUACAAAGGAAACGACCAUCAAUAAAAGUCAAAUAUCCUGUGU